AUAUGUCUAUAAUUUGCAUGAUUUAGGCAUUCAUUCUUCACCACUUUGUCAUUGUUUCAUCCACAUUUCAUCCCAUUAGGAGUCGUUUUAGUGUGUUUUACAUACUUAGGACGAUUUUUCAUUAGGAUUGCAUGUGCAUGGCAUAUUUGGUUGUUUUCAGGUACUUUGGAUGCUUUUGGAGUUCAAACAGAGGAAAAACAGAACAUGAAGUCAGAAUGCCCAAUGACGCCUUCAGCAAAAGUACUCUCUCGCAGCCUCAGAGCCCUGCCAGGGCAAAUCACUCUAUCGCAACCCCGGAGAAGCAAGCAGCUCAGUUUCACUCAAUCGCGAAGCUGGAGGAAUCACCCCAUCAGAACCACUCGAUCACCACUCUAUCACCAGGAAGCCUAUCUGCUCAUUCUGCACUCAACCAGACAAGCUUAGAACAAAGAAGAGAAGAGAAGCCGAAGAAACCACUGGAUCACACCCUCAUGACAUCCACUCGAUCGCACUCGAUCACAAGGUCGCUGGACCAUUAAAUCUCGACUUCACUGCAUUUCACUCGAUCGCAAGACGGAGCCCCUGAAGCCCAGUUUGAUCAAUGACAUAUUCGGUCGCAGGAUCAUGACGUAAAGAUUCGCUAUAUAUUUAGUUUCCUUAUUUGUUUUAUUUCUCGCUUAUAUAAACUGCCUCUUAGGGUUUUCCCUAGGGCGUCGGCUAUUAUCCGCUAUUAUCCGUUUUUAUCUCGUUUUUACAUUUUCACAACUUUGAUAGCCGCAGUGUUUCUCCUGCGACUUUGUAGUUUCGUUUUCAAGUAUUUGAUAUUUAGUUUUCGUUUAAGUCUUUCGUCAUUUCUGUUAUCAUGUUUUCAGUUGUUGCUUUGUUAUUGUCUUUGAUUAUGUCUGAGUAGUGAACUGUAUUUCUGAGGAUGGGAUAGAAUAGUUGUGGUUUACUUGGUCGUUUUAGGUGGUUGAGUUUAGAAUUCUAGAAUCCCUUCUGGAUUAGUUGCGCUUAUUGCUUAUUUCACUGGCUAAUGUGGAGUAUGAGUCUAGACGUCCAGCGCUCAGAAGGCGUUUAAUGGGCGUUGGAUCCUAUUAAUUCUAGAGAUAUCUGACUCUACCCCAAGGGAUUCGCUGUAGAGAGGGUAUUGACUUUAACAUGUUGAUUCGAUAAUGCCUGCUUAGUUAGAGAUCGCUUAAGGGAUUUAGGUCAGUGUCUAGCUUUGCUUGAGGAUUUCUAUCACGGGAGUGAAUUAAUCUGUUGUUGAACUUGUUGUCUAGGGAUAGCUUCUGUGAAGUUUUGUCAACCGCCUGAAUAGAUUAAGGAGACCACACUAUUCGAUUACCCCAUCCUUAGGAAUAGUUUAUCCAUUCGAUUGCCUGUUAUCAUUUCUGCUUUGUUAUUCACCUCCCUGCUAUUGUCAUUUCUUCCUUUAGUUUCAUUUCAUUUCUGUCAUUGCAUACUAGGACUGUUAGAACCAACCAACUUUCUGCUUGGCUUGACUUAGAGCUUUCUGAUCAUAUCUCAUCUGUUUGCAUCACACCGGAUUGGAUUGACAUCCUAAAAUACUACAACGACAAGAUAGUGUUUUAGGGAUUAAUUGAGUAAAAAUCCUACUAUCAAUUUGGCGCCGUUGCCAGUUUGGUGUUUGUUUGCUAUAUUUGAGAUCAUUAGAAACGUUAAGAUCAAGUUCGUUUUUGUUACUCAAGUUACUAACAUUGUGCCUUUUCUGUCUUUGUGUUUCAGGUACCUUGCAACCUUCUUUCCGGACGCAUCUUUGAUUCGUCUGUUAUAGCCCCGCUGCUAUCUGUUGCAUGCAUACAUGGUCACAAGGAAAUCAUAACCUCCUAUUCAACGAUAACGUCGACCGUAUUGCUCGCCAACUAAGAGAACAGACAGAAACCGACACAAUGGGUGACGUUGUAGAUGAGCAAGAGCAACCUACCAACAUUGGUGCUGGUGACUUCCCUCACAACCACAACCAGCGUCAUGGAAUUGUUCCACCUCCAGUACAGAACAACAACUUUGAGAUCAAAAGCGGUCUCAUUGCAAUGGUUCAGGGGAACAAGUUUCAUGGCCUGCCAAUGGAGGAUCCGUUAGAUCAUCUUGACGAAUUCGAAAGGCUCUGUGGCCUUACUAAAAUCAAUGGAGUUAGUGAAGAUGGUUUUAAGCUUCGCUUGUUUCCAUUUUCACUUGGAGAUAAAGCCCAUCUGUGGGAAAAGACGCUACCCCAGGGAUCAAUCACGACCUGGGAUGACUGCAAAAAGGCUUUCUUGGCAAAAUUCUUCUCCAACUCCAGAACUGCAAGACUCCGGAACGAGAUAUCCGGAUUCACUCAGAAGCAAAAUGAAAGCUUUUGUGAAGCUUGGGAGCGCUUUAAGGGUUAUCAAACCAAAUACCCUCAUCACGGAUUUAAGGAAGUUUCUCUUCUUAACACACUUUACAGAGGCGUCCUGCCUAAGAUACGUAUGCUCCUUUAUACCGCUUCAAAUGGGAAUUUUCUGAAGAAGGAUGUUGAAGAAGGAUGGGAGCUAGUUGAAAACUUUGCUCAAUCGGAUGGCAAUUACAAUGAAGACUAUGAUAGAAGCAUCUGCACGAGUUUUGACACUGAUGACAAGCACCACAGAGAGAUGAAAGCUCUCAAUGACAAACUAGACAAAAUCAUCCAAAUGCAACAGAAACAUGUUCACUUCAUCUCUGAAGAUGAACCAUUCCAAGUACAAGAGGGGGAGAACGAUCAGUGUGCUGAAAUCAGAUAUGUUCAUAAUCAAGGUGGCUACAACAAGGGGUACAAUAACUACAGACCCAACCCAAAAUUAUCAUACAGAAGCACCAAUGUCGCCAACCCUCAGGACCAAGUCUACCCUCAGCAGCAGCAGCAACAGAACCAAUCCAAACCGUUUGUUCCUUACAACCAAAGCCAAGGGUUCGUUCCAAAGCAGCAGAUUCAAGGAGGAUAUCAACAACAGCAACCACCAUCUGGUUUCACACCACAUCAACAACAACCCAAUCGAAGAGCCCAUACUCACCAGUCAACCCACUCGACCACAAGCUCCCCCAGCUACUCCCUUUGUUGAAAAACCGGAAGCUGCAAAGACCAAAGACACAGUCUUCGUGCCACCGCCUUACAAACCUCUACUUCCAUUCCCUGGUCGUUUCAAGAAAGUUCUGGUUGCAAAAUACAGAGCCCUCCUGGAAAAACACAUAAAAGAUAUCCCUUUAGUGGACUGUCUCGCGCUAAUACCUGAUGAGCACAAGUACGUGAAAAACCUGAUUACAGAAAGGAUCAAAGAAGUCCAAGGAAUGGUGGUGUUAAGUCAUGAGUGCAGAGCAAUCACUCAGAAGAAGAUUGUUCAACAAAAGUUGGAAGAUCCAGGAUCUUUUACUCUACCAUGCUCCAUUAGGCAAUUGACUUUCAACAAUUGUCUAUGUGAUCUAGGAGCCUCAGUCAGCUUAAUGCCACUCUCUGUUGUAAAGAAGCUGGGAUUCGUUCAAUACAAGCCUUGUGAUCUAACCUUGAUUCUUGCUGAUAGGACUUCAAAGAGACCUUUUGGCCUUUUAGAGGAUGUGUCAGUAAUAAUUAAUGGAGUAGAGGUGCCUACUGCUUUUGUUGUGCUUGAGAUGAAUGAAGAAUCUAAGGAUCCUCUGAUCUUAGGAAGACCUUUCUUGGCUUCAGUUGGAGCAGUAAUAGAUGUUAAGGAAGGAAAUAUUAAUCUUAAUCUGGGAGAGGAUGUCAAAAUGAAGUUUGACAUCAGGGACGCUACGAAGAAGCCAACAAUAGAAGGACAAACCUUCUUAGUUGAGGAAAUGGAUCAGCUAGGUAAUGAACUGCUAGAGGAGAUUGUUCACAGAGAUCACCUUCAAACUACUUUAACCAAAAGUAGUGAAGCUAGAUUUCUCUCCAGUGAGACCUUGAGCAAUGAGAUGUCAUUAGACUAACACAACGAAGUACCAGGAUUAAAGAUCUUUAAAGGUGUCAUUGCGUCAGAAACAGAGGAUGUUACAUUGAACGAGGAAGGCUCAACUGAUACUCGACUAGAAUGCUCAACCAAACAGCUAAAGUCAAGCGUGAGGGCAUCAAAUGAUUGGUUAGAACUCAAGGAGAGGCAAAAUGGCACGACAGGGCUAUAAGAGAGCUAACACACACUGUGAAAGAGCCGAAGGAUCAAGUCAAAGAGCUCCAUGGGAAAGCCAACCAAGCUCCACUCGACAUCAAGGACGUCCCAAAUGAUGAAGUUAGUCCUAUGGUUAGAAAAGAAGGAUGUGAAUUCACAUCAAAACAGUCUAGAAAAGACGACUAUCCAGAUGAUGAAAAAGGAGCUUACCAAGAAAGGGUCAUUGAGUACUCAAUUACAGACUUGUCACUGAAUUUGAUGUUGUAUCUACUAAGGAAGGAGAGGAGACGUCAAUUCUACUCUAUCACCCUCCUUGAGCCUAAUGAGUGUGAGGAGUCAAGCUAGAGACUUAAAACAAGCUCACUUGGAAGGAAGUCCCAUGCCUAUCCUUGUAUAUAGUUUUUAUUUUUGUUACUUUUGAUUUGUUUUGGUUUUGUUUUUGAUUCUCAGGAAAUGAAUAACAGCUGGAGCAACAACAGGGAUGCAACCAAGUGUUCAAAUAAAAAAUUUCAAAUUUUUGAUGAAUCACUCUAUCGCAAGACGAGAGUAAAAGCUCGAGUGUGCGAUCUAGUGGUUUUGGGACAACAUCUUUGUCAACGACAAUGUCAUACCACUCGAUCGCAACAUGGCAAUGGUGUGAUCAAGUGGUCUCCUAGUGGAAUUGCCCAAACCACUCAAUCUCAAAGAGAAGUGAAAACGCCCGACAUGACUUCAAUGACAACCCGCCUGAAGACAUGUCAUCCAGCCACCAUGACAUUGCUCCGCCAAGGCAAUUCACCUA
rnacentral:sRNA from 1 species